CAUGAAUUUUCAUAAUCUGCCAGUUAAUAAAAACACUGAAAACAGGUUUAGCAGCAGAACCCUCGAUCUGUUCUAUAAAUCUUUAUAAACUUCGGAUCAAAGCUGUUCUCCUCUUUACGCAGCUCUGCCAGGAGGUGGCGCUCUGCUCUCCUGUUGAACUGAACUGAGAGUCUGAGUCAGAUCAACAUGAGCUCCUUGAAGAGGAUCUCUUCUAUUCAUUCAGUCUCUGAGCUUCAGACAGGAUGCUGCUCUGUGUUCUGCUCAUCUUUACUCUGACUGAAGAAAUCAUUGCUGCUGAUGGAAUACAGCCACUCUUCAGUGAAAAGCGAGUUUUGGAGGGAGCAGAUGUGACUCUCUCCUGUAAUUAUACUGCAUCUUACGUAACCAACCUGCAGUGGUACCGUCAGUAUCCUGAAUCAGAACCAGAAUUCCUGAUUUCUCUCACUGAAACUGAGGGAGCAUCUAAUUCUACUCUCCGUCUGACAGCAAAGGCUGAGAAACAACAGAAACAAGUGGAUCUGAACAUAUCUAGAACUGCAGUAUCAGACUCUGCUCUCUACUACUGCGCUCUGCAGCCCACAGUGACAGAAACCCACCAAACACUGUACUAAAACUUUGCUUGUGAAAUAUGUAGAAACACUUAUAUUUCAGGAGGGGGCGCUGUUUCUCUUCUGCUUCUUCACUUUCAGCUUCUUAUUGUUGUUUGUUGGUUUUCAUGUGGUUGUAUGUGGAGAUUUAACACCAUUACAGAUGAGAUAGACAGGUUAUCAAAUAAACCUAAUAAAAUACGCCGUGGCGGUAGAUUAUUAAAGCAAAUUAUGUUAGAAAAUAAAAUUAUUGAGGUUUUUUAGAAAUGUAUACCUCAAUAAAAGAGAGUUUACACGUUUUAAUAGAAUUCAUAGA